rnacentral:rRNA from 1 species
CCCCUAGAUGUUCUGGGCCGCACGCGCGCUACACUGAACAGUUCAACAAGUCUUAACCUUGGCCGAUAGGUCUGGGUAAUCUUUGAACGCUGUUCGUGAUUGGGAUAGACCUUUGCAAUUAUGGGUCUUCAACGAGGAAUUCCUAGUAAACGCAAGUCAUCAGCUUGCAUUGAUUACGUCCCUGCCCUUUGUACACACCGCCCGUCGCACCUACCGAUUGAAUGGUCCGGUGAAUCUUUAGGACUGUGGCUGAGGCCUUGCCUUGUGCGGGUCUGGCCGUGGGAAUUUAGUUAAACCUUACUAUUUAGAGGAAGGUGAAGUCGUAACA